GUCCAGACUCCUACGGGAGGCAGCAGUGAGGAAUAUUGGUCAAUGGGCUUACGCCUGAACCAGCCAAGUCGCGUGAGGGAAGACUGCCCUAUGGGUUGUAAACCUCUUUUGUCAGGGAGCAACGCCGGCUACGUGUAGCCGGACUGAGGGUACCCGAAGAAAAAGCAUCGGCUAACUCCGUGCCAGCAGCCGCGGUAAUACGGAGGAUGCGAGCGUUAUCCGGAUUUAUUGGGUUUAAAGGGUGCGUAGGCGGACUGGAAAGUCAGCGGUAAAAUCGAGGGGCUCAACCUCUGUCCGCCGUUGAAACUGUCGGUCUUGAGUGGGCGAGAAGUAUGCGGAAUGCGUGGUGUAGCGGUGAAAUGCAUAGAUAUCAGGAGGAACACCGGCGGCGAAGGCGGCCUGCUGGACCGUGACUGACGUUGAGGCUCGAGAGCGUGGGGAGCAAACAGGAUUAGAUACCCCUGUAU
rnacentral:rRNA from 1 species